GUUGUUGAGGCCGAGUGGUUAAGGCAAUGGACUUGAAAUCUACUGGGGUGUCCCCGCACAUGUUCGAAUCCUGCCAGCAACA